rnacentral:lncRNA from 1 species
UGAAGGUGAGGCAGGCCUCUUCCUUUUAUUGCUAUUCUGGGUGCUGUCAGAUGAGCAGCUGGAAUUCUGUGAGCACACAGCCUGUCCAUGUUCCUCAGUGAGAUUGCUCCUCUCCAACUGUUCAGCUUCGUCUUCUAGACAUUUAAACAAGUACAUUCCUUUGGACUCAUGAGUGGCUUUGUCAAAUCCAGGAUUACUUGACUCCUUCUUUGCCUUCUUCUCUUCUCUUCUCUUCUGUUUCUUUUCUUUCUUUUCCCUCUCCAACUGUUCAGCUUCGUCUUCUAGACAUUUAAACAAGUACAUUCCUUUGGACUCAUGAGUGGCUUUGUCAAAUCCAGGAUUACUUGACUCCUUCUUUGCCUUCUUCUCUUCUCUUCUCUUUUCUUUCUUUUC